rnacentral:rRNA from 1 species
AAGGCAAUGAUGCAUAGCCGAGUUGAGAGACUGAUCGGCCACAUUGGGACUGAGACACGGCCCAAACUCCUACGGGAGGCAGCAGUAGGGAAUCUUCCACAAUGGACGAAAGUCUGAUGGAGCAACGCCGCGUGAGUGAAGAAGGGUUUCGGCUCGUAAAGCUCUGUUGGUAGUGAAGAAAGAUAGAGGUAGUAACUGGCCUUUAUUUGACGGUAAUUACUUAGAAAGUCACGGCUAACUACGUGCCAGCAGCCGCGGUAAUACGUAGGUGGCAAGCGUUGUCCGGAUUUAUUGGGCGUAAAGCGAGUGCAGGCGGUUCAAUAAGUCUGAUGUGAAAGCCUUCGGCUCAACCGGAGAAUUGCAUCAGAAACUGUUGAACUUGAGUGCAGAAGAGGAGAGUGGAACUCCAUGUGUAGCGGUGGAAUGCGUAGAUAUAUGGAAGAACACCAGUGGCGAAGGCGGCUCUCUGGUCUGCAACUGACGCUGAGGCUCGAAAGCAUGGGUAGCGAACAGGAUUAGAUACCCUGGUAGUCCAUGCCGUAAACGAUGAGUGCUAAGUGUUGGGAGGUUUCCGCCUCUCAGUGCU